rnacentral:rRNA from 1 species
UACGGAGGGGGCUAGCGUUGUUCGGAAUGACUGGGCGUAAAGCGCGCGUAGGCGGGCGGUCAAGUUGGGGGUGAAAUCCCGGGGCUCAACCUCGGAAUGGCCUCCAAUACUGGCUGCCUAGAGUUCGAGAGAGGUGAGUGGAAUUCCGAGUGUAGAGGUGAAAUUCGUAGAUAUUCGGAGGAACACCAGUGGCGAAGGCGGCUCACUGGCCCGAUACUGACCGCUGAGGCACGAAAGCGUGGGGAGCAAACAGGG